GAUGAACGCUGGCGGCGUGCCUAAUACAUGCAAGUCGAGCGAAGCGGGGAAGGGUGAGUAAAACGUGGAUAACCUCCUAUAAGACUGGGGUAACUUCGGGAAACAGGAGCUAAACCGGAUACUUAUCGAUGGAUCCGCGUUGCAUUAGCUAGUUGGUAAGGUAACGGCUUACCAAGGCAACGAUGAAUAGCCGACCUGGGAGGGUGAUCGGCCAACCUGGAACUGAGACACGGUCCAUACUCCUACGUGAGGCAGCAGUAGGGAAUCUUCCGCAAUGGGCGAAAGCCGGACGGAGCAACGCCGCGUGAGUGAUGAAGGUCUUCGGAUCGUAAAACUCUGUUAUUAGUGAAGCGGUACCUAAGCAGAAAGCCACGGCUAACUACGUGCCAGCAGCCGCGGUAAGUC
rnacentral:rRNA from 1 species